UCGGCGGCGGCUGCUGCUGCCUGUGGCCCGGGCGGCUGGGAGAAGCGGAGUGUUGGUGAGUGACGCGGCGGAGGUGUAGUUUGACGCGGUGUGUUACGUGGGGGAGAGAAUAAAACUCCAGCGAGAUCCGGGCCGCGAACGAAAGCAGUGACGGAGGAGCUUGUACCACCGGUAACUAAAUGACCAUGGAAUCUGGAGCAGAGAACCAGCAGAGUGGAGAUGCAGCUGUAACAGAAGCUGAAAGCCAGCAAAUGACAGUUCAAGCCCAGCCACAGAUUGCCACAUUAGCCCAGGUGUCCAUGCCAGCAGCUCAUGCAACAUCAUCUGCUCCCACCGUAACUUUAGUGCAGCUGCCCAAUGGGCAGACAGUUCAAGUCCAUGGAGUUAUUCAGGCGGCCCAGCCAUCAGUUAUUCAGUCUCCACAAGUCCAGACAGUUCAGUCUUCCUGUAAGGACUUAAAAAGACUUUUCUCCGGAACUCAGAUUUCAACUAUUGCAGAAAGUGAAGAUUCACAGGAGUCAGUGGAUAGUGUAACCGAUUCCCAAAAACGAAGAGAAAUUCUUUCAAGGAGGCCUUCCUACAGGAAAAUUUUGAAUGACUUAUCUUCUGAUGCACCAGGAGUGCCAAGGAUUGAAGAAGAGAAGUCUGAAGAGGAGACUUCAGCACCUGCCAUCACCACUGUAACGGUGCCAACUCCGAUUUACCAAACUAGCAGUGGACAGUAUAUUGCCAUUACCCAGGGAGGAGCAAUACAGCUGGCUAACAAUGGUACCGAUGGGGUACAGGGCCUGCAGACAUUAACCAUGACCAAUGCAGCUGCCACUCAGCCGGGUACUACCAUCCUGCAGUAUGCACAGACCACUGAUGGACAGCAGAUCUUAGUGCCCAGCAACCAAGUUGUUGUUCAAGCUGCCUCUGGAGAUGUACAAACAUACCAGAUUCGUACAGCACCCACUAGCACCAUUGCCCCUGGAGUUGUUAUGGCGUCCUCCCCAGCACUUCCUACACAGCCUGCUGAAGAAGCAGCACGAAAGAGAGAGGUUCGCCUCAUGAAGAACAGGGAAGCAGCACGAGAAUGUCGUAGAAAGAAGAAAGAAUAUGUGAAAUGUCUAGAAAACAGAGUGGCAGUGCUUGAAAACCAAAACAAGACACUGAUUGAGGAGCUAAAAGCACUUAAGGACCUUUACUGCCACAAAUCAGAUUAAUUUGGGAUUUAAAUUUUCACCUAUUAUGGUGGAAAAAGGACUGGCUUGGCCACAACCAGAAAGACGAAAUAAACAUUUAUUUUCUAAACAUUUCUUUUUUUCUAUGCGCAAAACUGCCUGAAAGCAACUACAGAAUUUCAUUCAUUUGUGCUUUUGCAUUAAACUGUGAAUGCUCCAACACCUGCCUCCACUUCUCCCCUCAAGAAAUUUUCAGCACCACGAAUCAUGAAGAGACUUCUGCUUUUUAUCCCCCGCCCUCUUCAAGAAGUAAUAAUUUGUUUACUUGUAAAUUGAUGGGGGAAAUGAGGAAAAGAAAAUCUUUUUUUAAAUGAUUUCAAGGUUUGUGCUGAGCUCCUUGAUUGCCUUAGGGACAGAAUUACCCCAGCCUCUUGAGCUGAAGUAAUGUGUGGGCCGCAUGCAUAAAGAUGAACAGAGUUAAUGAAGGAGCACCAUUCUAAGAAUUGAGUGAUGUAGUCUUAUAUCUGGACAGUUCACCAGAUUCUCAAGAAGGCUUUCAAACGACUGUAAAUUUUGUUGUUUAUCCUGCUGAGCUAAUGGGGAAAGUUAUAGUGUAAAAAUUAUUUGUAUACCUGCAUAGAUGUGUCAGUUUUCCAAAACUGGUUUAAUAGAAACCAAGCAAAAUCACAAAUCGAUUCACAAACUAGAAGUCUUUCUUAAUGAGUCAGAAUGUCAGACCUGAACGUUUUAAAAGUCAUAAGCUUUAUAAAUGAAAAUUGCCUAGUAUUUAGCAAGUUAAAUGUUUUCAAAAGUUGAGGCUUUCUAUUUAAUUAGAAAGUUGGUGGUCCUCUUAGUCCCUGAUAAAUCAAGGCAAGUCACAUCCAUAUUAGCUGGCUGAAUUUAUAAGUUAUAAAAGACUGAUUGCACUGGUUUGAAGUCAGUUACUUAAUGGUGAGGUAAGAAAUGUAUUCUGUUGCUAAAUCUGUUUAGACCCUUGGAGAAACUUGAAGAUUUCAGUUUAUACAGAUAGAAAUUAAGCAUAUUUUGAG